rnacentral:rRNA from 1 species
AGUGAACGCUGGCGGUAGGCCUAACACAUGCAAGUCGAACGGCAGCACAGUAAGAGCUUGCUCUUACGGGUGGCGAGUGGCGGACGGGUGAGGAAUACAUCGGAAUCUACUUUUUCGUGGGGGAUAACGUAGGGAAACUUACGCUAAUACCGCAUACGACCUACGGGUGAAAGCAGGGGAUCUUCGGACCUUGCGCGAUUGAAUGAGCCGAUGUCGGAUUAGCUAGUUGGCGGGGUAAAGGCCCACCAAGGCGACGAUCCGUAGCUGGUCUGAGAGGAUGAUCAGCCACACUGGAACUGAGACACGGUCCAGACUCCUACGGGAGGCAGCAGUGGGGAAUAUUGGACAAUGGGCGCAAGCCUGAUCCAGCCAUACCGCGUGGGUGAAGAAGGCCGUCGGGUUGUAAAGCCCUUUUUGUUGGGAAAGAAAAGCAGCAGGUUAAUACCCCGCUGUUCUGACGGUACCCAAAGAAUAAGCACCGGCUAACUUCGUG